rnacentral:rRNA from 1 species
UGCCGGUGACAAGCCGGAGGAAGGUGGGGAGUGACGUCAAAUCAUCAUGCCCUUUACUUGACCUGGGCGUACACACGUGCUACAAUGGAUGGUACAGAGAGCAGCGAGGCAGCGAUGUGGAGCGAAUCUCAAAAAGACCAUUCUCAGUUCGGAUUGGAGUCUGCAACUCGACUCCCAUGAAGUCGGAAUCGCUAGUAAUCGCGAAUCAGCAUGUCGCGGUGAAUGCGUUCCCGGGCCUU